GCCUCCGUCGUGUAGCGGUAGAGCACGCGUCCUUCUAGGAUGAAACGCGGGUUCGAUUUCCGCCUGAGGCA